rnacentral:rRNA from 1 species
UACGUAGGGACCGAGCGUUGUCCGGAAUCAUUGGGCGUAAAGAGCGUGUAGGCGGCUAUUUAAGUCCUGCGUGAAAUCCUGCGGCUCAACCGCAGACGGUCGUGGGAAACUGGAUGGCUAGAGUGCGGGAGAGGAGAGUGGAAUUCCCGGUGUAGCGGUGAAAUGCGCAGAUAUCGGGAAGAACACCAAUGGCGAAGGCAGCUCUCUGGGACGGUACUGACACUGAGACGCGAAAGCGUGGGGAGCGAACAGG